UGGGGAAUUUUCCGCAAUGGGCGAAAGCCUGACGGAGCAAUACCGCGUGAGGGAGGAAGGUCCUUGGAUUGUAAACCUCUUUUAUCAGGGAAGAAAAAAAUGACGGUACCUGAUGAAUAAGCAUCGGCUAACUCCGUGCCAGCAGCCGCGGUAAUACGGAGGAUGCGAGCGUUAUCCGGAAUUAUUGGGCGUAAAGCGUCCGUAGGUGGUUUUGCAAGUCUGCCGUCAAAGAAUGGAGCUCAACUCCAUACCGGCGGUGGAAACUGUGAGACUAGAGUACAGUAGGGGUAGCAGGAAUUCCCAGUGUAGCGGUGAAAUGCGUAGAUAUUGGGAAGAACAUCGGUGGCGAAAGCGUGCUACUGGGCUGAAACUGACACUGAGGGACGAAAGCUAGGGUAGCGAAAG
rnacentral:rRNA from 1 species